UACCAGCUCUCCGAGUGGUAGGGAUGAUUAUUGGGCUUAAAGCGUCCGUAGCCGGCUUAGCAAGUCUCCUGUUAAAUUCAGCGACCUAAUCGUUGAGCCGCGGGAGAUACUACUAGGCUAGGAGGCGGGAGAGGUCAACGGUACUUCCGGGGUAGGGGUGAAAUCCUAUAAUCCCGGGAGGACCACCAGUGGCGAAGGCUGUUGACUAGAACGCGCUCGAUGGUGAGGGACGAAAGCUGGGGGAGCGAACCGGAUUAGAUACCCGGGUAGUCCCAGCUGUAAACGAUGCAGGCUAGGUGUUUGGGCGGCCACGUGCCGCUCUAGUGCCGCAGGGAAGCCGUUAAGCCUGCCGCCUGAGGAGUACGGCCGCAAGGCUGAAACUUAAAGGAUUGGCGGGGGAGCACCACAAGGGGUGAAGCUUGCGGUUU
rnacentral:rRNA from 1 species